ACCUGUGGGAUCCAAGGUACUGAACUGCGCGGGUAAUUCGGUGGUGAUCAGAGGAAAAGCCUGAGGUACAGUGAAGGAGAGAUUCGAUUUAACUUAAUGGCCAUUGUGUCCGACAGAAAAAUGAUAUAUGAACAGAAGAUAGCAGUUACAAAGACAGCCUGCAGAGGAACCUAUGGACACCGAUGAGGGCAGCAAUACGUUAAGUGCUGUUCAGUCAGAAUUGGCCAGGAAUCAGAUGCUUAUUGAAGAAGAAGUACAAAAACUAAAGAGAUACAAGCAAAGGAGAUGGUUUAUUGUACACACAUCGCGUUCAGCCACAACUAUGAACAAAACUAGGCCAGAAUGUCACAGGUCUAGGGCACGGGACCGUCGGGAUGCUUGAUUAUGAGCAACAUCGGUGUCUUUCAGAGAUCAUCUUGGUGAUGGAAGUUCUAGAUCCACUGGAAAAUCACAGACAGCUGCAUGCCAUUCAACACUUAUCAGCAUCCCAGCCUAUGGCAUUCCUUAUUUCUUUUUCUCUGGCCUUGAUGGGUGUACAAGCUGGUUUACUUGGACCUCUCUGCCUCAUCUUUCUUCCUCCACUUAGCUCUCAUGGCACAGUGGUUUCUAGGAAGGUGGUGCUAAGGCUGAGGGCCACUUCUGGUUUUUGAGGGGUUUAUUGGAGAUGAGGGUCUCACAGGGACUUUUCGGCUCUG